GUUAAAUGUAUAGCAGCAUUAUAGACGGUCAAAGUCGGACGUUUUCGAUUUACAAAAAACAAUCACGGGCCAAACCAUUUCACUUUCAUCUCAGCCCAAGAUCCUCCUACACACCCUACACAACCCACCUAGCCUACCCCUCCAUUUCGAACCGCCCGAUUAAUCCGACGGUAAGAAAACUCCUAACCCUAGCCCCCUUCCCUAUUUAAGCACACCGCCCCCACCUAAUUCGGCUGAACCCAAGAUUUCUGUGCGGCCCUAACCAGCAGUCAGCACCCAACCUCCACAUCUCCCACGUCCUCUCUCCCACCCGCCGAAGUCGCUGAGCCCACAACAGGCCCACUCGGCCCUGGUUCAUCUGUGUUGCCCGCUGCUCCUCGAGCCCGAUCUGGAUCGUCAGAAGCAUGAGCUCCUCUCGCCACCACCUCGUCAGCCCUAGCACCUACCUGCGGCUACGCCAUUACCCCGAGCCGCCGCUCUGACGUCGCCGGCUAGCCGCCUCGCCGUUCCUUCUCAUCGUCAUUGUGGUCGUGCGCCCGACAUCCCUAGCUCCUGUUGUCGUAAAGAUGCACGCUGCCGAAGCCUGCCAAUACCUCGAGCCACCUCAUAGACCACCGCCACCGCCAGCGUGCCUCACCACCGGCCGCCUUCGUGUCUCUGCCACCGGAUCUGGCCAAUCCCUCCUCGUCCCCGUCGUUGAAGUCCCCUCAGCCGCUGCCAUCGGCCUCUUGGUAGCAACCUCGUCUGCCUCAUCCGAGAGCCUGAGCGCCCGCGUGGGCCUCCUGUGCACGUGUCAGCUCCCCUAGCCCACGACGCAAGGUCAAGCCCAGCCGCAGCCAGAUCCGGCCCUGUUUGCAGGAGAAGGCUCGUCGUGCUAGAUCCUAACCAAGCCAGUCCUGCGAGUUAUGGAGCCUAGCCAGGGACGUCGUUGCCAUUGUAUCAAGACAUCUGUUGCCACUUAGUAGCCUUGGAGUUGUGUAAUAUUGUUGUAAGCAAAAGUAUUGUAAUACUCCCUUAUAUUAAUAAAGCCACUUUUGCCUGGAAUUUCGGUAUCAUGUCUUUGGCGCGUGUCCGGUCCUAUCCUGGGGACGAAUGUGCGUCGGCCCUCUAUCAGGGUGCCACAGCUUAGCUGUAGUUUUCAUCAUGUGAACAUGCUAAGAUAAAGUUGUUAUUUGGUAGGGUCAAA